UAGAAUUGCAUGAUGGCCUUUUACAACUGAUCAUCAAUUCGCACCUUAAGCAAUCGAGCUAUGUGGCCAUAUUUUUUAUCAAAGUUUCCUCAAGUUGUGGCCCUCCACCUUUCCCAUAUGCUGAGCAAGUCAAUGAAGUCAUUCUGAUUAAGAUCAAGGUGAACUUUUUCAAGUAAUGAUGAGAUGUGACCCUUUGCCAAGCAAUCUCCCUCACUUUGUUGAGCACUUGCCAUGUGUUGUGUUACUUCGUAGAUCCCAUCAUAGCCUAAAGGUGGUCAUGAUGACUUCAUGAAUGCAAUCAGAUUCUUCCCCGUCAAUGGUUGUCAAGUGAUGU
rnacentral:lncRNA from 1 species